rnacentral:rRNA from 1 species
GAUGAACGCUGGCGGCGUGCUUAACACAUGCAAGUCGAACGGGAAACCUUUUAUUGAAGCUUCUGCAGAUUUAGCUGGUUUCUAGUGGCGGACGGGUGAGUAACGCGUGGGUAACCUGCCUUAUACAGGGGGAUAACAACCAGAACUGGUUGCUAAUACCGCAUAAGCGCACAGGACCGCAUGGUCCGGUGUGAAAAACUCCGGUGGUAUAAGAUGGACCCGCGUUGGAUUAGCUAGGUGGCAGGGUAACGGCCUACCAAGGCGACGAUCCAUAGCCGGCAUGAGAGGGGGAACGGCCACAUUGGGACUGAGACACGGCCCAGACUCCUACGGGAGGCAGCAGUGGGGAAUAUUGCACAAUGGGGGAAACCCUGAUGCAGCGACGCCGCGUGAAGGAAGAAGUAGCUCGGUAUGUAAACUUCUAUCAGCAGGGAAGAUAGUGACGGUACCUGACUAAGAAGCCCCGGCUAACUACGUG